GACGAACGCUGGCGGCGUGCUUAACACAUGCAAGUCGAACGGACAGGCCCUGCUUUUGUGGGGUGCUCGAGUGGCGAACGGGUGAGUAACACGUGAGUAACCUGCCCUUGACUUUGGGAUAACUUCAGGAAACUCGGGCUAAUACCGGAUAGGAGCUCCUGCUGCAUGGUGGGGGUUGGAAAGUUUCGGCGGUUGGGGAUGGACUCGCGGCUUAUCAGCUUGUUGGUGGGGUAGUGGCUUACCAAGGCUUUGACGGGUAGCCGGCCUGAGAGGGUGACCGGCCACAUGGGGACUGAGAUACGGCCCAGACUCCUACGGGAGGCAGCAGUGGGGAAUAUUGCACAAUGGGCGGAAGCCUGAUGCAACGACGCCGCGUGCGGGAUGACGGCCUUCGGGUUGUAAACCGCUUUCGCCUGUGACGAAGCGUGAGUGACGGUAAUGGGUAAAGAGGCACCGGCUAACUACGUG
rnacentral:rRNA from 1 species